rnacentral:rRNA from 1 species
UACAGAGGUCCCAAGCGUUGUUCGGAUUCACUGGGCGUAAAGGGUGCGCAGGCGGCCGUGUGUGUGAGGCGUGAAAGCCCGAUGCUUAACAUCGGAAUUGCACCUCAAACUACACGGCUAGAGCAUUGGAGAGGGUAGCGGAAUUCACGGUGUAGCAGUGAAAUGCGUAGAUAUCGUGAGGAACACCAGAGGCGAAGGCGGCUACCUGGACAAUUGCUGACGCUCAGGCACGAAAGCGUGGGGAGCAAAAGGG